CGUAUAUUAAAGUUGUUGCAGUUAAAAAGCUCGUAGUUGGACUUCUGGCAGGGCGCCGCGUGCCACAGUAGUGCGCACAAGGGCCCGGCCAUCCUUCUGUAAACGUCGGGGAAGUUUAUUCGUCCGCGGCGGGAUCAGUUAAUUUACCUUGAGAAAAUUAGAGUGUUUCAGGCAGGCGUAGCCGGAAUACAUUAGCAUGGAAUAAUGGAAUAGGACUUAGUCUCUUUGUUGGUUCGAGGGACUGGAGUAAUGAUUAAUAGGGAUAGUUGGGGGCAUUAGUAUUUAUUAGCUAGAGGUGGAAUUCUCUAAUUUGAUAAAGACUAACUUAUGCGAAAGCAUUUGCCAAGGAUGUUUUCAUUAAUCAAGAACGAAAGUUAGGGGAUCGAAGACGAUCAGAUACCGUCCUAGUCUUAACCAUAAACUAUGCCGACUCGGGAUCGGGAGCGCGUGUUAUCCGCUUUCGGCACCGUAUGAGAAAUCAAAGUCUUUGGGUUCUAGGGGGAGUAUGGUCGCAAGGCUGAAACUUAAAGGAAUUGACGGAAGGGC
rnacentral:rRNA from 1 species